CCACCCAAGAGUUCAUAUCGACGGAGGAUUUUGGCACCUCGAUGACGGCUCAUCACAUCCUGGGGCUGAAGUAGGUCCCAAGGGUAUGGCUGUUCGCCAUUUAAAGUGGUACGCGAGAUGGGUUCAGAACGUCGUGAGACAGUUCGGUCCCUAUCUGCCGUGGGCGUUAGAGAUUUGAGAAGAGGUGCACCUAGUACGAGAGGACCGGAGUGAACGAACCACUGGCGUUCCGGUUGUUUCGCCAGAAGCAUUG
rnacentral:rRNA from 1 species